rnacentral:tRNA from 3 species
UGUCCUCUUAGUUAAAUGGAUAUAACGAGCCCCUCCUAAGGGCUAAUUGCAGGUUCGAUUCCUGCAGGGGACACCAG